rnacentral:rRNA from 1 species
GGGAAGAGCUCAAUUUUAAAAUCUGGCAGGUUUACCUGUCCGAGUUGUAAGUUAUAGAGGCGUUUUCGGAGGCAACCUGGGUAUAAAUCCUUUGGAACAGGGUAUCAUAGAGGGUGAGAAUCCCGUCUUUGACUCAGUGUUUGCUUCUAUGUGAUACGCUUUCAAA